rnacentral:rRNA from 1 species
UACGUAGGUGGCAAGCGUUGUCCGGAAUUAUUGGGCGUAAAGCGCGCGCAGGCGGUCUCUUAAGUCUGAUGUGAAAGCCCCCGGCUCAACCGGGGAGGGUCAUUGGAAACUGGGAGACUUGAGUGCAGAAGAGAAGAGUGGAAUUCCACGUGUAGCGGUGAAAUGCGCAGAUAUCGAGGAAGAACACCCGUGGCGAAGGCGGCUCUCUGGUACGUGACUGACGCUGAGACGCGAAAGCGUGGGGAGCGAACAGGG